UACGAAGGGGGCUAGCGUUGUUCGGAUUCACUGGGCGUAAAGGGUGCGUAGGCGGUCGGGUAAGUCUGUCGUGAAAUCUCCGAGCCCAACUCGGAAACUGCGUCGGAUACUAUUCGGCUAGAGGAAUGGAGGGGAGACUGGAAUUCUCGGUGUAGCAGUGAAAUGCGUAGAUAUCGAGAGGAACACCAGUGGCGAAGGCGAGUCUCUGGACAUUUCCUGACGCUGAGGCACGAAAGCCAGGGGAGCAAACGGG
rnacentral:rRNA from 1 species